rnacentral:rRNA from 1 species
UUGUCGUCAGCUCGUGCCGUGAGGUGUCGGCUUAAGUGCCAUAACGAGCGCAACCCCUUUCUUCAGUUGCCAUCGGGUAAUGCUGGGCACUCUGGAGACACUGCCUCCGCAAGGUGUGAGGAAGGUGGGGAUGACGUCAAAUCAGCACGGCCCUUACGUCCGGGGCUACACACGUGUUACAAUGGCGCGUACAGCGAGUCGGGCGUGUGCAAGCACGCUCCAAUCUUGAAAACGCGUCUCAGUUCGGACCGGGGUCUGCAACCCGACCCCGCGAAGCUGGAUUCGCUAGUAAUCGCGCAUCAGCCAUGGCGCGGUGAAUACGUUCCCGGGCCUUGUACACACCGCCCGUCAAGCCAUGAAAGCCGGGGGCGCCUGAAGUCCGUGACCGCAAGGGUCGGCCUAAGGCAAUUAUGUUUU